AGAGUUUGAUCCUGGCUCAGGAUGAACGCUGGCGGCGUGCCUAACACAUGCAAGUCGAGCGAUUUACUUCGGUAAAGAGCGGCGGACGGGUGAGUAACGCGUGGGUAACCUGCCCUGUACGCACGGAUAACAUACCGAAAGGUAUGCUAAUACGAGAUAAUAUGCUUUUAUCGCAUGGUAGAAGUAUCAAAGCUUUUGCGGUACAGGAUGGGACCCCGCGUCUGAUUAGCUAGUUGGUAAGGUAACGGCUUACCAAGGCGACGAUCAGUAGCCGACCUGAGAGGGUGAUCGGCCACAUUGGAACUGAGACACGGUCCAAACUCCUACGGGAGGCAGCAGUGGGGAAUAUUGCACAAUGGGCGAAAGCCUGAUGCAGCAACGCCGCGUGAGCGAUGAAGGCCUUCGGGUCGUAAAGCUCUGUCCUCAAGGAAGAUAAUGACGGUACUUGAGGAGGAAGCCCCGGCUAACUACGUGCCAGCAGCCGCGGUAAUACGUAGGGGGCUAGCGUUAUCCGGAAUUACUGGGCGUAAAGGGUGCGUAGGUGGUUUCUUAAGUCAGAGGUGAAAGGCUACGGCUCAACCGUAGUAAGCCUUUGAAACUGGGAAACUUGAGUGCAGGAGAGGAGAGUGGAAUUCCUAGUGUAGCGGUGAAAUGCGUAGAUAUUAGGAGGAACACCAGUUGCGAAGGCGGCUCUCUGGACUGUAACUGACACUGAGGCACGAAAGCGUGGGGAGCAAACAGGAUUAGAUACCCUGGUAGUCCACGCCGUAAACGAUGAGUACUAGCUGUCGGAGGUUACCCCCUUCGGUGGCGCAGCUAACGCAUUAAGUACUCCGCCUGGGAAGUACGCUCGCAAGAGUGAAACUCAAAUGAAUUGACG
rnacentral:rRNA from 1 species